rnacentral:rRNA from 1 species
UACGAAGGGGGCUAGCGUUGCUCGGAAUCACUGGGCGGAAAGGGCGCGUAGGCGGCGUUUUAAGUCGGGGGUGAAAGCCUGUGGCUCAACCACAGAAUGGCCUUCGAUACUGGGACGCUUGAGUAUGGUAGAGGUUGGUGGAACUGCGAGUGUAGAGGUGAAAUUCGUAGAUAUUCGCAAGAACACCGGUGGCGAAGGCGGCCAACUGGACCAUUACUGACGCUGAGGCGCGAAAGCGUGGGGAGCAAACAGG